CCCCUAGUAACUGCGAGUGAAGCGGGAAAAGCUCAAAUUUAAAAUCUGGCGGUCUUUGACCGUCCGAGUUGUAGUCUGGAGAAGUGCUUUCCGCGCUGGACCGUGUACAAGUCUCUUGGAACAGAGCGUCAUAGAGGGUGAGAAUCCCGUCUUUGACACGGACUACCAGUGCUUUGUGAUGCGCUCUCAAAGAGUCGAGUUGUUUGGGAAUGCAGCUCAAAAUGGGUGGUAAAUUCCAUCUAAAGCUAAAUAUUGGCGAGAGACCGAUAGCGAACAAGUACCGUGAGGGAAAGAUGAAAAGCACUUUGGAAAGAGAGUUAAACAGUACGUGAAAUUGCUGAAAGGGAAACGCUUGAAGUCAGUCGCGUUGGCCAGGACUCAGCCUUGCUUUUGCUUGGUGCACUUUCUGGUUGACGGGCCAGCAUCGAUUUUGACCGCUGGAAAAAGGUUGGGGGAAUGUGGCACCUUCGGGUGUGUUAUAGCCCUCAGUCACAUACGGUGGUUGGGAUCGAGGACCGCAGCACGCCUUUAUGGCCGGGGUUCGCCCACGUUCGUGCUUAGGAUGCUGGCGUAAUGGCUUUAAACGACCCGUCUUGAAACACGGACCAAGGAGUCUAACAUGCCUGCGAGUGUUUGGGUGGAAAACCCGAGCGCGUAAUGAAAGUGAAAGUUGAGAUCCCUGUCGCGGGGAGCAUCGACGCCCGGACCUGAACUUCGGUGAUGGCUCUGCGGUAGAGCAUGUAUGUUGGGACCCGAAAGAUGGUGAACUAUGCCUGAAUAGGGUGAAGCCAGAGGAAACUCUGGUGGAGGCUCGUAGCGAUUCUGACGUGCAAAUCGAUCGUCAAAUUUGGGUAUAGGGGCGAAAGACUAAUCGAACCAUC
rnacentral:rRNA from 1 species